ACGAACGCUGGCGGCGUGCCUAAUACAUGCAAGUAGAACGCUGAAGAGAGGAGCUUGCUCUUCUUGGAUGAGUUGAAAGGGGGAGUAACGCGUAGGGAAACUGCCUGGUAGCGGGGGGGAAAAAUUGGGAACGAUAGCUAAUAUCGCAUAAAAUGUAUUAUCGCAUGAUAAACCAUUGAAAGGUGCAAAAGCAUCACUAUCCGAUGGACCUGCGUUGUAUUAGCUAGUUGGUGGGGUAACGGCUCACCAAGGCGACGAUACAUAGCCGACCUGAGAGGGUGAUCGGCCACACUGGGACUGAGACACGGCCCAGACUCCUACGGGAGGCAGCAGUAGGGAAUCUUCGGCAAUGGACGGAAGUCUGACCGAGCAACGCCGCGUGAGUGAAGAAGGUUUUCGGAUCGUAAAGCUCUGUUGUAAGAGAAGAACGAGUGUGAGAGUGGAAAGUUCACACUGUGACGGUAUCUUACCAGAAAGGGACGGCUAACUACGUG
rnacentral:rRNA from 1 species